GGGCAGCUCUGUCUUGCCUUUGCAGCUGCCCAGCUUCAUCAACACCACCCUCCCGCCGCACGAGCAGGUGACGGCCCAGGAGAUCGACAGCUACUUCCGCCACGAGCUCGUCUACAAGAGGAAUGAGCGGAUGGGGAAGAGGGUCAUGGCGCUUCUGCGGGAGAACGAAGACAAGACCUGCUUCUUCGCCUUCGGAGCAGGUCAUUUCCUGGGGAACAACACAGUCAUCGACGUCCUUCGGCAGGCAGGGCUGGAGGUGGAGCACACACCCGCGGGCCAGACCAUCCACAGCCCCGCCGCCCGGAGCCCUGCGCCCCCACCCGAGGGGACCUCGGCGAGCCCGGCCCCAGCCACCCCCGCCGCCGCUGUCCCCCCAGCGCCCUCGGCGACCCCCACCGUUCCGCCUGAGGAGGAGGACCCGGCCCUGUCCCCACACCUCCUGCUCCCCGACAGCCUCAGCCAGCUGGAGGAGUUUGGACGGCAGAAGAAGUGGCACAAGAGGCAGAACAAGCAGCAGCGGCCACGGCAGUUCAAUGACCUGUGGGUCCGCCUCGAGGACAGCACGGCUGCCUCGCCGCCCCCGCCGCCCCUGCAGCCCACGCACAGCUCCGGGACCGCGGGGCCACCCUUGCAGCUCUCGGAGCGGCUUCAGCAGCGGGAAGAGCCAGGCCCCACCAGCAGCUCAGCGCCCUGCGGCCCACAGCCCGCCCUGGGCCUCCUCCCCGCCCUCCUGGCCAGCGUGGCAGCCCCCCUGGUGCAGCACACCCUGGGGCCCUCCUGACCUUGGCUACCAGUGCAGAGAAGCCAGAGAGACCACAGGAGGGUGUGUGGCCACACCCCACUGCCCCUGCCACCACCUCCAGGGUGCCUGA
rnacentral:lncRNA from 1 species